rnacentral:rRNA from 1 species
GGUGAACCUGCGGAAGGAUCAUUAUCUAAAA